CANUGGGGGAACCCUGAUGCAGCGACGCCGCGCUGGAGGAAGAAGGUCUUCCGAUUGUAAACUCCUGUUGUUGAGGAAGAUAAUGACGGUACUCAACAAGGAAGUGACGGCUAACUACGUGCCAGCAGCCGCGGUAAAACGUAGGUCACAAGCGUUGUCCGGAAUUACUGGGUGUAAAGGGAGCGCAGGCGGGAGAACAAGUUGGAAGUGAAAUCCAUGGGCUCAACCCAUGAACUGCUUUCAAAACUGUUUUUCUUGAGUAGUGCAGAGGUAGGCGGAAUUCCCGGUGUAGCGGUGGAAUGCGUAGAUAUCGGGAGGAACACCAGUGGCGAAGGCGGCCUACUGGGCACCAACUGACGCUGAGGCUCGAAAGUGUGGGUAGCAAACAGGAUUAGAUACCCUGGUAGUCCAAGGGCGAAUUC
rnacentral:rRNA from 1 species